rnacentral:lncRNA from 1 species
GUAGAAAGCUGAAACUGGAUCCCUUCCUUACACCUUAUACAAAAAUUAAUUCAAGAUGGAUUAAAGACUUAAACAUUAGACCUAAAACCAUAAAAACCCUAGAAGAAAACCUAGGCAAUACCAUUCAGGACAUAGGCAUGGGCAAGGACUUCAUGUCUAAAACACCAAAAGCAAUGGCAACAAAAGCCAAAAUUGACAAAUGGG